rnacentral:rRNA from 1 species
AGCUCCACUAGCGUAUAUUAAAGUUGCUGCAGUUAAAAAGCUCGUAGUCGGAUCUCGGGAUCGUGUCGGUGAUUUGGUUGCUUCUCCUGCGUUUCGGCGUUGGGGGUUGUGGCCGGUCAUCGGCCCUGCCGGCGAGGUCCCUACCUUUGGUGGGGUUCCACCUCGCUCGUGCAGCCCGCCGUUGCGAUUUGGCGGGUGUCCUUAAUUGGAUGCCCGUCUCGAUCGUGACCACUUUUCCUUGAACAAAUCGGAGUGCUCAAAGCAGGCUCUCUAUCGCUCGAACGGUAGCGCAUGGAAUAAUGGAAGAGGACUUGCUUCCGCUUCUGUUGGUCUCACGGAGGCAGGUAAUGAUCAAGAGGGACGGACGGGGGCAGAGGUAUGUCUCGGCGAGAGGUGAAAUUCUUGGACCCUAGACAGACCCUCGAGAGCGAAAGCAUCUGCCAAGGAUGUUUCCA